GGGGCCGGCCGGAGAGAGGGCUCUUUCCUGAGAGGCUGGACUUUCCCACAGGAACAAAGUGGGGCUUGUUAGCUGGGCAUGAAUCUUGGCGUGGGGCGGCCGGGGCCAGGCUCAGCGCUGCCAGGCGGCGGCUCCGCGAUAUCAGGCAAAUUCCGCCUUCCCCACAGCUGGGGCUGACAGCAGGAAGCCCCAGGGAGGCUCCGGACAAAGGCAGAAAAAUGGGCCACGUUUAUUCAUUCACUGACCAGCCCGGGCCUGGCUGGCCCAGGGGCCCUGUCUCCAUGGCUACGGGCAGCCUUCAGUGCUCCUGGUUGGCUCCUCUGUGACCACAGCCCCUCCACGGCCACACACCCCAACACACAGAGACACAGCAUCAUGAAGGCAGAGGCUGCCUCGGGACGGCUCUACCCCGGGGAGUGUGGGGCCAUCUGAGCCAAACAGAAUCGAGGGCUUGGACACAACCCAGGGUGUGAGUUGAGCUCUGAAUGUCAAGACCAGUCCUGGGUGAGGAAACUGAAGCUCUGAGAGCAGUAGCUCCCCUAAGCCACACAGCUGGAGAGCGCUGAGCCAACGGCAGAGCUGGGGCUUUUUGAAGGCGCACAGAGGAAAGGUUUGCUCUCCUUGCCGAGUUUCCUCAUGCUCAUUUCCACCCCCAGCCCUCAGAGCGUGACAUUGUUGAUCUUCAUCCUGAAGUGUCGCCUGAGUCUCCUUCACCUGGUUAUGCUACCCAUAAAAUAAAAUAAAGGAAGAAAA